rnacentral:rRNA from 1 species
CCUACGGGAGGCAGCAGUGAGGAAUAUUGGACAAUGGGCGCAAGCCUGAUCCAGCCAUGCCGCGUGCAGGAAGACGCAUCUAUGGUGUGUAAACUGCUUUUGUACGGGAAGAAACACUCCUUCGUGAAGGAGCUUGACGGUACCGUAAGAAUAAGGAUCGGCUAACUCCGUGCCAGCAGCCGCGGUAAUACGGAGGAUCCAAGCGUUAUCCGGAAUCAUUGGGUUUAAAGGGUCCGUAGGCGGUUUAAUAAGUCAGUGGUGAAAUCUGGUCGCUCAACGAUCAAACGGCCAUUGAUACUGUUAGACUUGAAUUACUAGGAAGUAACUAGAAUAUGUAGUGUAGCGGUGAAGUGCUUAGAUAUUACAUGGAAUACCAAUUGCGAAGGCAGGUUACUACUAGUGGAUUGACGCUGAUGGACGAAAGCGUGGGGAGCGAACAGGAUUAGAUACCCUGGUAGUCCACGCCGUAAACGAUGGAUACUAGCUGUUGGGCGCAAGUUCAGUGGCUAAGCGAAAGUGAUAAGUAUCCCACCUGGGGAGUACGUUCGCAAGAAUGAAACUCAAAGGAAUUGACGG